rnacentral:rRNA from 1 species
UUUUAGAGUUUNGAUUCCCGCUCAGGACGAUCGCUGGCGGCGUGCCUAAUACAUGCAAGUCGAACGCUUCUUUUUCCACCGGAGCUUGCUCCACCGGAAAAAGAGGAGUGGCGAACGGGUGAGUAACACGUGGGUAACCUGCCCAUCAGAAGGGGAUAACACUUGGAAACAGGUGCUAAUACCGUAUAACAAUCGAAACCGCAUGGUUUUGAUUUGAAAGGCGCUUUCGGGUGUCGCUGAUGGAUGGACCCGCGGUGCAUUAGCUAGUUGGUGAGGUAACGGCUCACCAAGGCCACGAUGCAUAGCCGACCUGAGAGGGUGAUCGGCCACAUUGGGACUGAGACACGGCCCAAACUCCUACGGGAGGCAGCAGUAGGGAAUCUUCGGCAAUGGACGAAAGUCUGACCGAGCAACGCCGCGUGAGUGAAGAAGGUUUUCGGAUCGUAAAACUCUGUUGUUAGAGAAGAACAAGGAUGAGAGUAACUGUUCAUCCCUUGACGGUAUCUAACCAGAAAGCCACGGCUAACUACGUGCCAGCAGCCGCGGUAAUACGUAGGUGGCAAGCGUUGUCCGGAUUUAUUGGGCGUAAAGCGAGCGCAGGCGGUUUCUUAAGUCUGAUGUGAAAGCCCCCGGCUCAACCGGGGAGGGUCAUUGGAAACUGGGAGACUUGAGUGCAGAAGANGAGANGA